GUGCCAGCCGCCGCGGUAAUUCCAGCUCCAAUAGCGUAUAUUAAAGUUGUUGUGGUUAAAAAGCUCGUAGUUGAACCUUGGGCCUGGCUGGCCGGUCCGCCUCACCGCGUGCACUGGUCCGGCCGGGCCUUUCCCUCUGUGGAACCCCAUACCCUUCACUGGGCGUGGCGGGGAAACAGGACAUUUACUUUGAAAAAAUUAGAGUGCUCCAGGCAGGCCUAUGCUCGAAUACAUUAGCAUGGAAUAAUAAAAUAGGACGCGCGGUUCUAUUUUGUUGGUUUAUAGGACCGCCGUAAUGAUUAAUAGGGACAGUCGGGGGCAUCAGUAUUCAACUGUCAGAGGUGAAAUUCUUGGAUCAGUUGAAGGCUAACUACUGCGAAAGCAUUUGCCAAGGAUGUUUUCAUUAAUCAGGAACGAAAGUUAGGGGAUCGAAGACGAUCAGAUACCGUCGUAGUCUUAACCAUAAACUAUGCCGACUAGGGAUCGGACGGUGUUAUUCAUGACCCGUUCGGCACCUUACGAGAAAUCAAAGUGCUUGGGCUCCAGGGGGAGUAUGGUCGCAAGGCUGAAACUUAAAGAAAUUGACGGAAGGGCACCACCAGGGGUGGAGCCUGCGGCUUAAUUUGACUCAACACGGGGAAACUCACCAGGUCCAGACACAAUAAGGAUUGACAGAUUGAGAGCUCUUUCUUGAUUUUGUGGUGGUGAGCAUGGCCGUUCUUAGUUGGUGGGGUGACUUGUCUGCUUAAUUGCGAUAACGAACGAGACCUUAACCUGCUAAAUAG
rnacentral:rRNA from 1 species